GUGAACGCUGGCGGUAGGCCUAACACAUGCAAGUCGAACGGCAGCACAGUAAGAGCUUGCUCUUACGGGUGGCGAGUGGCGGACGGGUGAGGAAUACAUCGGAAUCUACUUUUUCGUGGGGGAUAACGUAGGGAAACUUACGCUAAUACCGCACACGACCUACGGGUGAAAGCAGGGGAUCUUCGGACCUUGCGCGAUUGAAUGAGCCGAUGUCGGAUUAGCUAGUUGGCGGGGUAAAGGCCCACCAAGGCGACGAUCCGUAGCUGGUCUGAGAGGAUGAUCAGCCACACUGGAACUGAGACACGGUCCAGACUCCUACGGGAGGCAGCAGUGGGGAAUAUUGGACAAUGGGCGCAAGCCUGAUCCAGCCAUACCGCGUGGGUGAAGAAGGCCUUCGGGUUGUAAAGCCCUUUUGUUGGGAAAGAAAAGCAGCUGGUUAAUACCCCGCUGUUCUGACGGUACCCAAAGAAUAAGCACCGGCUAACUUCGUG
rnacentral:rRNA from 1 species